AAACCCUAAUCUGCCAUACCAAGUUCAGUACUAGAAACCGCUGAACUAAUUGACAACUAGUCUUAUUUUCAAUUUUUUUGAAGGUUCCACAACCGUUGGGUUAAGUGACCGGGUGAGGGUCACCAAACUUAGAAGGUGAAUUCCCUUUUCUUUUUUUUUUCUUUUUUGGAACACUCACUUAUAUUCAUCGGCUUCCCUGCGUAGAGUGUGUGUGAGAUGGUGCUGACUGCUGAAAUAAACUACUCAAGAGCUGUCAGAGGAUGAGAAUUUAAGGCUAAAACAUAAUAAGAAUUUGAAUCAAUUUCCAUAUGCAGGAGACUUACGGUGUUAAAACAAUACCGAUCUUGUGAAUUUUUCCCAAGUCUCUGCAAACUCGACUCAAUGUAACCUAUAUCCUAAAACUUUCAACAAAAAUGCAUUUUUUUUAAAGAAAACAAAAACAAAACAAAACAAAGAACAAAACAAAG
rnacentral:lncRNA from 1 species